UGGGUGGAUCAGUGGCGAACGGGUGAGUAACACGUGAGCAAUCUGCCCCUGACUCUGGGAUAAGCGCUGGAAACGGCGUCUAAUACCGGAUACGAGCUGCGGCCGCAUGGUCGGCAGUUGGAAAGAUUUUUCGGUCAGGGAUGAGCUCGCGGCCUAUCCGCUUGUUGGUGAGGUAAUGGCUCACCAAGCGUCGACGGGUAGCCGGCCUGAGAGGGUGACCGGCCACACUGGGACUGAGACACGGCCCAGACUCCUACGGGAGGCAGCAGUGGGGAAUAUUGCACAAUGGGCGGAAGCCUGAUGCAGCAACGCCGCGUGAGGGAUGACGGCCUUCGGGUUGUAAACCUCUUUUAGCAGGGAAGAAGCGAAAGUGACGGUACCUGCAGAAAAAGCGCCGGCUAACUACGUGCCAGCAGCCGCGGUAAUACGUAGGGCGCAAGCGUUAUCCGGAAUUAUUGGGCGUAAAGAGCUCGUAGGCGGUCUGUCGCGUCUGCUGUGAAAUCCCGAGGCUCAACCUCGGGUCUGCAGUGGGUACGGGCAGACUAGAGUGCGGUAGGGGAGAUUGGAAUUCCUGGUGUAGCGGUGGAAUGCGCAGAUAUCAGGAGGAACACCGAUGGCGAAGGCAGAUCUCUGGGCCGUAACUGACGCUGAGGAGCGAAAGGGUGGGGAGCAAACAGGCUUAGAUACCCUGGUAGUCCACCCCGUAAACGUUGGGAACUAGUUGUGGGGUCCAUUCCACGGAUUCCGUGACGCAGCUAACGCAUUAAGUUCCCCGCCUGGGGAGUACGGCCGCAAGGCUAAAACUCAAAGGAAUUGACGGGGACCCGCACAAGCG
rnacentral:rRNA from 1 species